GUACAUUAUAUAUAUAUAUAUUUAUAUAUAUAGUUAUUAUUAAUGUUUCCGAAGGGAAAUGAAAUUAACACAAAAUGAUUGGCGA
rnacentral:ribozyme from 1 species